rnacentral:rRNA from 1 species
AACGUAGGACGCAAGCGUUAUCCGGAGUUACUGGGCGUAAAGCGCGGGCAGGCGGUUCUGCCAGUCUGAUGUGAAAUCCCCUCGCUCAACGGGGAGCAGCCAUUGGAAACUACAGAACUGGAGUCUGACAGAGGUAGGCGGAAUUCCGGGUGGAGUGGUGAAAUGCGUAGAGAUCCGGAGGAACACCAGAGGCGAAGGCGGCCUACUGGGUCAGUACUGACGCUGAGCCGCGAAAGCCAGGGGAGCGAACGGG